UAUUUCUACUGAUUUUUAAAAAUUUCUUCUAUUAUAUAUAUUUUUUCUGCUAGUUCUUUUAGAAAUAGUACAUAGUCCUUGUUUUCAGGGAUACGAUAUUUUCUGUAUUGAAAAAUGUUUAAUCACAGAUUUUUUUUCCACAAAAUCUUCUGCUUCCUGCACUGUCUCUAGUUCUCUUUCAUGAUGUUUGUUUUGGUCUCUGUAUUUCAUGAUGAAGGCUUUUCUCUAGUUCUCCUUGGUCCUCCCUACAUAUUUAAGUGUAAAAUACAGAAAAGGAUUACCAGAGGUGUCAGAUAAGAGGGGGAGUCAGAGUAGAAACAAUAUUCUUUACAAGUUGCAGUUCAAAUAUCUUUAUUUUUGCAAAACUUACAAAAACAUUAUGUCCCAUUGUUGAUUUAUAGCUCUAUAAUUAUUUACAGUUAUUUAGUGAGAUUUUGGUGGCAGAGGAAAUAAAUAUGGUAAUCUUUUUUUUUUUUUUUUUUUUUUUGAGACGGAGUCUCGCUAUGUCGCCCAGGCUGGAGUGCAGUGGCCGGAUCUUAGUUCACUGCAAGCUCCGCCACCCGGGUUUACGCCAUUCUCCUGCCUCAGCCUCCCGAGUAGCUGGGACUACAGGUGCCCGCCACCUCGCCCGGCUAGUUUUUUGUAUUUUUUAGUAGAGACGGGGUUUCACCGGGUUAGCCAGGAUGGUCUCGAUCUGCUGACCUCGUGAUCCGCCCGUCUCGGCCUCCCAAUAUGGUAAUCAUUUUGUACACCCCUCCUGAAUAAUAAUUUGGCUGGGAAUCAAAUUUUUUUUUUUUUUUUUUAGAGAGACAUGGUCUCACUCUGUUGCCUGGGCUGCAGUGCAGUGGCACAAUCCUCCCACCUCAGCCUCCUGAGUAGCUGGGAUGACAGGCUCACACCACCACGCCUAAUUCUUUUUUUUUUUUUUUUUGUAGAGAUGAGGUCUCACUAUGUUGCCCAGCCUGGCUUGAACUCCUGGACUCAAGCAAUCCUCUCACUUCAGGCUCCAAAAGUGCUAGGAUUACAGAUGCCCCCGCCACCCCCUUGUGACAAGGG
rnacentral:lncRNA from 1 species